CACUCAUUUCUUCAAAGCCUUCCGCCAAUGUGUUCAUACUUUCAGGUCCAAGCUUCGCAGCCAACUUCUCCCCAUCAGCAUCAUCACCUAGAUAAAAGCCACUCUCCAAAUUACCAUCUCCUCUCUCCUCAUCCCGACGACCUCUUCCUCUUCCUCUACCCCUUCCCCUUCCUCCUCUGCCUCUCACCGCACCACGACCACCCCUCCCUCUAAAACCUCCUCCCAUUCCCCUUCCACCACCAACAUCACCAUCAUCACUUCUUGAUAAUAUCCCUACAGCCUUUUUUACUGCAUCCUCCCUACUCAACCUCUGGGGAGGUGGACUGCUCGCUCUCUCCCCUGAAUCUGCAACUUUCUGCUGCCGAGGCCGGAGAUGGCGAUUCUCUUCCUUAGGCUUCUCAGAGACAGAAGAAGCCGUUUGCAAGGGCUUCCCUCGGCCCGCACCAGUCAAAACUGAUAUUACACUAGAAGGGAGAUUUGAAUCAUCUCUUGGUUUUGGAGCAUUUGAAGAACUAGAAUUUGAAUCAGUUGUUUCUUCUUCCUUCGCAAAGAAAAUCGGUUUCCUCAGUGGCUGCUGCUGCUGUUGUUGCGGCUGAGGUGGUGGAGAAAACGGGCCGAUCCCACCUCGGCCACGGCCAGCAGGAGUAUUAGGGUUAUCAACGAAGGAGUGAAAUGAGGGAACAAUUGGGGACGAAGGUAAUGGUUUACCUCGGCCUCGUCCAUGUCCAGUUCCAGAUGGAGUAGCAGGAGUCGAUGAUUCCGGUUUGGAGUCUUCGGAUGCGGAUUUUCCCGGACUAAAUCCAAAGUUUGGGGAAUCGGAACCUCGUCCCCUGCCUCUACCACCUCCGCCGCCGCCGGAGAAAGUGGAAAAAGCGGAACCCGAUGAGGCGGUGAUGGGUCGGCCAAUAGAGCAGUGAGAAAGCUUGCUUAAGCUUCGUCUCAUUUCUUGUGAAGUAGUGUUAAUGAGAUCCCAAAGAGGAAUGGUGCUUCUUCGUCUCCAGCACGAGGG
rnacentral:misc_RNA from 1 species